rnacentral:tRNA from 1 species
AUUUUUAUAGUGUAAACAAACAUAUAAUCCUUUCAAGAUUAAGAUAAACCUAUAUUUAAAAAUA